GACAGAGGAGGCGAGCGUUAUCCGGAGUCAUUGGGCGUAAAGGGUACGUAGGCGGCUAGUCAAGUCUGAGGUUAAAGACCACAGCUUAACUGUGGGAAGGCCUUGGAAACUGACUGGCUAGAGUGGGGCAGGGGUUGCGGGAAUUCCCGGUGUAGCGGUGAAAUGCGUAGAUAUCGGGAAGAACACCUGAGGCGAAAGCGCGCAACUGGGCCCUAACUGACGCUGAGGGACGAAAGCUAGGGGAGCGAAUGGG
rnacentral:rRNA from 1 species